rnacentral:rRNA from 1 species
UACAGAGGUCUCAACCGUUGUUCGGAUUCAUUGGGCGUAAAGGGUGCGUAGGCGGUCGUGCAAGUCGGAUGUGAAAUCUCAGGGCUCAACCCUGAAACUGCAUUCGAUACUGCGUGGCUAGAGUGCUGGAGAGGAGACUGGAAUUUCCGGUGUAGCAGUGAAAUGCGUAGAUAUCGUAAGGAAGACCAGUGGCGAAGGCGAGUCUCUGGACAGCAACUGACGCUGAGGCACGAAGGCCAGGGGAGCAAACGGG